rnacentral:rRNA from 1 species
AACGAACGCUGGCGGCAGGCUUAACACAUGCAAGUCGAACGCCCGUAGCAAUACGGGAGUGGCAGACGGGUGAGUAACGCGUGGGAAUCUUCCCAAAGGUACGGAACAACUCAGGGAAACUUGAGCUAAUACCGAAAGUGCCCGAGAGGGCAAAGAUUUAUCGCCUUUGGAUGAGACCGCGUUGGAUUAGCUAGUUGGUGGGGUAAUGGCCUACCAAGGCGACGAUCCAUAGCUGAUCUUAGAGGAUGAUCAGCCACACUGGGACUGAGACACGGCCCAGACUCCUACGGGAGGCAGCAGUGGGGAAUCUUGGACAAUGGGCGAAAGCCUGAUCCAGCCAUGCCGCGUGAGUGAAGAAGGCCUUAGGGUUGUAAAGCUCUUUUGCCCGGGAAGAUAAUGACGGUACCGGGAGAAUAAGCCCCGGCAAACUUCGUGCCAGCCGCCGCAGUAACAC